AUGAAUGAGCAUGACGCGGGUAGCAGCGGCACCAUGGCAAGUCACCAUAUUCAUGAGCAGGAAACGGGCGCCGUUGUAAGGUGUCGUCUUCACGAUGUGGUGUCACUUGCAGGGACUCAGUGCACUGCCACACAUUCAGAUGUACUUAAUGUUCAGCUUCAUUCUUCUAUAACAUUCGAUGUAGACGAUAUCCUCCGGCUGGAAAUGGAUGACAGGUGCAGCGACAUCCUGAGUACAACGUCCAUCGCUUCAUGCGGCGGUGAGCCCAACGGCCAUCUUCACGCUUUGGAUGCACAUGAAUACGUAUCAGGAGCAGGCCUUCUUGUUCUUGUGUAG
rnacentral:rRNA from 1 species